AAUCGGCUGCAAGUGUUCAUCUGCAACAUCUUGGAAUUUAAACGGGAGUGUAUUGGAGCUGUGGACAUUGUUUGGGAUAGAUCUGGAUUUACAGCCAUGAGACUCGAGGACCGUGCCAGCUAUGCUACGGUGAUCAAGAAACUGCUGGCCCCAGACUUCUCAUACGGCAUGUGGACGGUUGUUUAUGAUUCGCACAAUGCUGAUGACCUAA
rnacentral:lncRNA from 1 species